CGUAGGUGGCGAGCGUUGUCCGGAAUUACUGGGUGUAAAGGGCGUGUAGGCGGGACUGUAAGUCAGAUGUGAAAUUCUGAGGCUUAACCUCAGCGCUGCAUCUGAAACUGCGGUUCUUGAGUGUCGGAGAGGAAAGUGGAAUUCCCAGUGUAGCGGUGAAAUGCGUAGAUAUUGGGAGGAACACCAGUGGCGAAGGCGACUUUCUGGACGACAACUGACGCUGAGGCGCGAAAGCGUGGGGAGCAAACAGGAUUAGAUACCCUGGUAGUCCACGCUGUAAACGAUGGAUACUAGGUGUAGGAGGUAUCGACCCCUUCUGUGCCGGAGUUAACACAAUAAGUAUCCCACCUGGGGAGUACGGCCGCAAGGUUG
rnacentral:rRNA from 1 species